AUGGCGACUCUUUCUCUCCCUCUGGUACACCCGCAGGUCUCCCUCUGGCGACAAGGGCCGCGGCGACUGCAUGGCUCGCCAAGCUGCCAGUUCAGACACGCCGGGAGGGUGCAAUCCAGUUACAGAGGGCUUGAAGCUCUGUAUGAUGAUGGGUACGGGACAGUCAAGGACCUGGACUACUUCUAUCAGGCACUCGGGCAGCUGGUUGAGCAUGACAGUGGGCCGCCCUGCUGGUUAUGCCCCGUCGACGCCGGCUCGACAGUCGAGGAUGCUCCGCUCAUGCUGUAUUUGCCAGGGGUGGAUGGAAUGGGGAUGGGGCUCUGCAUGCACCACAAGGCUCUUGGAAGGAUAUUUGAACUUAGAUGCUUGCACAUUCCUUUUCACGACCGCACGCCAUUCGAAGAACUUGUCACAAUGGUAGAAGAUGUUGUGAGGGCAGAGCACUCCACUUCUCCUAAUAAGCCCAUGUAUCUAUUGGGGAAUUCGUUUGGAGGAUGCUUAGCUCUUGCAGUUGCUGCUCGCAAUCCUCGUAUUGAUUUGAUACUGGUACUAGUUAAUCCAGCUACAUCGUUUGAGAGGUCAGAAAUAAAAAAGCUUCUGUCGGUUUUCAGCCCAUUAUCAAACAACGCCUGUAUUGCAAUUACAGCUCUACUGAACUACAACAUCGACAACGAGGUGAACAUGGCACUGAGUAGAAUGCAAAGUGGGAAGCAUCCUUUAGAAGCACUCAUCAGAUUGACAAAUAACAUGUCGUCUUCCCUGAAGCAUACGAACGUACUGGACAAACUACCAGAAGACACACUACAAUGGAAGAUGAAACUGAUGAAACGGGCUGCGCAAUACGCUAAUUGCCGUUUACAAUCAGUUACAGCUGAGGUGCUACUGCUAGCCAGCUGCGAUGACAACUUACUCCCGAGCAAAUCUGAAGCCUACAGGCUACAGAACAAAAUACCUAAAUCCAAAAUCUUCUUCUUUGAGAAGCAUGGGCACAGCUUACUGCUGGAGCAUGGUGUCCAUGUCUCAUCCAUCAUCAAGUGUGCUGGUCUCUACCGCCAUUCGAGGCGCUAUCAUCGAGUUUUCGACUACAUCCCGCCAUCCACAACCGAGUUAAAGGAAGUCGACAAAGCUAGCAUCGACCUAUUGUUCAGAACGUGCCCAGCGAUGUUCUCGACGCUGGAGGACGGCACGGUGGUGCGGGGACUCGCCGGGGUGCCCGAGGAUGGGCCGGUGCUGCUGGUAGGCAACCACAUGCUGCUGGGGAUCGAGCUCAUCUCUCUUGCCGCGGAGUUCAUGCGGCAUAAGAAGGUCGUGGUCCGUGGCAUCGCGCACCCGCUGCUGUUCCCGAAGAAGACGAAGACGUGGUCGGAGGGACACGACUUCUUCGACUUCCUCAACCUGUGGGGAGGCGUGCCCAUGACCUACAAGUACAUAUACGAGUUGCUAGCAGCCGGGGAGUUCGUGCUCCUCUAUCCGGGUGGCUACAGGGAGGCACUCCACUGCAAGGGUGAAGAGCACAGGAUUUUCUGGCCAGAACAGACUGAAUUUGUUAGGAUGGCAGCGCAGUGCAAUGCCACAAUCGUGCCAUUUGGAGUCGUCGGAGAGGAUGACAUCGUGAAUCUGCUUUGCACAUUCGACGGUAUCAGGAGCGCGCCCUUCGGCAAGGAGAUAAUGCGGGCCUACAGUAAGCAUCUGAAUCUCAGGGAUGCCAAGCACGAGGUGAUCUUCCCGGGCGUGUGCAUGAAGAUCCCGGGCCGGUUCUACUACCGGUUCGGGAAGCCGAUUCCGAUGAGGUGGAGGCAGGACGUCCUCACCGACCGUCGAGCCGCGACGGUUCUCUAUGCGCACAUAAAGUCGGAGGUGAAAGGCAUCAUCUCAUACCUGCUGGAGAAGCGGGAGGAGGACGAGUACAGAAAGAUCUCGCGGAGGCUCAUGUUCAUGGCUUCCCAGGGGUUCAACACCCAAGUUCCAUCGUUCGAUCCUUGA
rnacentral:rRNA from 1 species